UUACAACUUAAAAUACAAGAUGAAAGAGGAGACAAGGAGACGCCUAUAUAUCAGAAACUCACGUGAAUGUCAGUUGAAAAAUAAACCACAAGUUCCAUUUUAAUAACUUGUAGUUAUUCAAUUUGCAAUUUGAAUUAUAUAUUCCUGUUUGUUGUUUCAAUGGUUCAAACUUGUGGAUAUUUAAUAUGACGUAACAGGUCAAGGUCGGACUGAAACUCAAAAAGAUGAAGGAGGUAACGGGUUGACGCCUAUUUAUCAAGACCUCAUGUGAGCAUCAGGUGCAUUUAAAUCACAUGUUAAGUUUUAAUAGAUAUUAGUUUUAAAAUUUGCCAAUUUGAAGUUUUAAAAAUAUAUAUAGAUUGUUUCAAUGGUAUAAAGAAAUGGACAUUUGAUACAACGUAACAGGUCAAGGACUGCAACUUAAAAAAAGAUGAAAGAGAAGACAGUGAGACGCCUAUAUAUCACGACCUCAUGUGAACAUCAGAUGCAAACUAAAAUGACGUAGAUGUUAGCAACAAGAGGUCACAAUACAACCGUGAACGAUCACCAAGACCCAUAACAUAUACCAAGCUUUUAAAAGGCCCGACAUGACAAUAUGUAUAAUAGUUCAAACGUGAAAACCAAAGACAAUUUCUUGCAUACAAAAAAACAAAAACAAAAACAACAAAAACAACAAAACACAACGAACGAUAAUCACUGAAUUACAGACUCUCGAGAUGUGAUAGACACAGAAAUAAUAUGUCGAUUUUUAACAUGUUUGCAGCCAUCAAAUGCUUCUAUUACCUGGUAUAAUGUUGUAACAGCA
rnacentral:lncRNA from 1 species